UAUGUGAUACGUUAUCACAGAGUCGAGNUGUGNGGGAAUCCAGCUCAAAAUGGGUGGUAAUAGUCAUCUAAGGCUAAAUAUUGGCGAGAGACCGAUAGCGAACAAGUNCCGUGAGGGAAAGAUGAAAAGAACUUUGAAAAGAGAGUUAAACAGUGCGUGAAAUUGUUGAAAGGGAAACGCUUGACACCAGUUAUGCGGGUGGAAAAUCAGUCUUUUGCAAUGGGGAGUUGUGGGCGUUCAGGCCGCAAGGCUGGCGUUUGUUUCAUGUUUGUAGUAAGUGAUGCACUUUUUCAUGAGCAGGUCAACAUCAGUGAACUUUGCUGGACAAAACCCCAAGGGAAGGUGACAGCUUACGCUGUGUCAUAUCCCUGUGUCGAUACAGCGGAGUGGACUGAGGUUUCGCAGUGUGUGCUCUCGGNCAAGGCUGAUUGGGUGCUAUGGGAUCGUUCGGCGUACAAUGCAUGCAUUCUGCGUCGUGUCCUUUUCNUACUCGCUCAACUCCCCUCUUCCACGCUUAGGAUGUUGACUUAAUGGUUUUAAUCGACC
rnacentral:rRNA from 1 species